AGAGCGCUCCACCAGCUCCACCGUCUGGCCGCAGCGGACGCUCAGCUCUCCCGGCCCCCCAGAGGUGAAGUCCAGCAGUACCACCACUAACUCGCAGCCGCCGGAGAGCUGCAAACACACAGACGCGCCGCGCUAAAUGAUAAAUGGCGUUGAACCUGAGCGUCUUUGUUGCCACAACAUGACAGAUGACCCUCAUUCAUCAUCCCGCUCAGCGCCGCCCAGCAUCACAUGAAACCAGGUCGCCGUGGUUACCGCCGACUCUCCAGCCAGACUGAUAGCUCACAUAAGCACAUGUGCUCUGGCUCCGGUGGGGGGGAACACCCAGCGCCCUCUGGGAAAGAGUGGGGGGAGUUCCCGACUAAAUGAAAGCAGCUGUGAUUUACGGAGGGAGCAGCAGAGGAGCUGAAUGGAGGCGGUGGCUUCCAAAUGGGUCGGCUCAUCCGAGCAAAACCAGAGAAGGGGGGAAAACGGAAUGGUUUGUCCCGAAAGAGGAGGAGGAAUCCGGGCUGAACCGAGCUGACAGGCAGCUGGAAAAACACUUUCCCUGAAAACUGUUUUAAAAUCUUUACUUAUUUUUCCUUUUUAAUUUAUUUUUAAAUUAUUAGGAAUUUUUUACAAAUUUUUUUGUUUUUUUCCCUUUUUUCCCCUAAAAAUUUCAUGACCUACAAGGAAUAAAAAUUACAUUUAUCAUAAUUUUUUGUAAAACUCGUUCAUGUAUAUUUUUAUAUUUUUAAAUACUAAAAAAAUUCCAUACGAGACGAAAAUUCAUUGUUUUACCUCGAAUUUGUAUCAUUGUUCAGCUCAGUUCAACAUGUCAGAGGUCAGAGGUCACAGGAGCACCUCCUAACUAACCUGAAGGUAAAAGCAAAAGUCGAACGUACCUCGUCGACGGCGUGGAGUUUCUAGAAGAGUGUGGACAAACAUGCUCACACCCAGCCAGCUGCAGCAGAGCUGAGGUCAUGAGGCGCUCGACACACCCCUCUGAACACACUCCGUGUGUGUGUGUGUGUGUGUGUGUGUGUGUGUGCGGUUACCUUGUCGCUGUCGGCGGUGUUCUGCGACGUUCGUGAGGCGAUGGAAACCGUGUCAGGCUGACUGCUGGCAUCACCCAGGCUGUCUGCGUCCUCGCUCGUCUCCCUGAAAGUCACCACCGCACGGAAAUAUUUACACUUUUUUUCCAUAUUUUUCACAUUUUUUUCAAAUCUGUUGGAGCUGGAGUUCCUCAACUGCCUCCUUUACUCUCAAAUUUCUUUUGAGAACUUUGUUUGAAACUUUUUAUAAAAAAAAAAAAA